rnacentral:lncRNA from 1 species
AGAGAUGCGCAGUGCUGCCCCUUUCUAUGGGCAGGGCCGAAGGUCCGCGUGUAAAAGUACCCAGUCCCUGGUAACCUGACACUUCCCUUUUAAAAGCCACCUUUUGUCUAUCUCUGGCCUGCCACGAUUCUUCCUGUGCUCCAUAGGAGGACCCAUUGGACCCCCGGGCUGGCUGCAGGGCCCACACCUGGGUUAGACCUCGCACAGGGACGCUGCUGCCACUGUAAUAAAGCGUGCCUACACGCUUCUGAAACUGGUGUAGGAACAACCUCAGUUCUGUGAAAGGCGGACGCAGCAGGACAGAAUCUCCGUGGACAUCUGUCUGGAGGAGCAAUUUUACUGCGACAUUUUAAAGAAACAAAUUUAAUUGAUUUCCAAGGGUGUCCAUCGCGCUUCCUUCACUGCCUUGAUCAUGUCGGGGUCACCACCUGCGGGGGUUUGUCCUGCAGACCCUGACUCAACGACGGAUGAAUAAUGUACACUGACACAGAUCUUAUGCUUGUCAGUCCUGCUGAGCAUCCAGGCCACUUACAGACUCCAAGAAGAGUCCUGUCAGCCACGGCUCUGACUUGUUGGCCCUCCCGGCAUUUAUUUAGCACACAUUUAAUGACAGAAGUCUCAGGCUGGAAACACUCUUUUUGUAGAACAUACAAAUGGACAUUUCUAAGCACAUUGAGGCCUAUAAUGAAAAAUCAAAUAUCCCACAAUGAAAACUAGAAGGAAGCUAUCUGUGAUAAUGCUUUGUGGUGUAUGGAUUCAUCUCACUGACUGAAACCUGAGUUUUGAUUCACCAGGUAAGAAACACUUUUUUUUUUAAUAGAAUCUACAAAGGGACAUUUCUGAGCAAAUUGAGGCUAAGAGUAAAAAAUCAAAUAUCACACGAUAAAAACUAGUAACAAGCUAUCUGUGAAAAUGCUUUUCAAUGUUUGAAUUCAUUUCACAGAGUUAAACCUUUGUUUUGAUUGAACAGGUUGGAGACACUCUUUUUAUAGGAUCUACCAAGAGACAUUUCUGACCUCAUUGAGGCCAAUAGUAAAAAAUCAAAUGUCUCAUGAUAAAAAGUAAAAAGAUGCUAUCUGUGAAAAUGCUUUCUGGAGUGGAGAUUUAUCUCAGUGAAUUGAAUCUGUGUUUUGAUUCACCAGGUUGGAAACCUUCUUUUUGUAAAACCUACAGUGGGACAUUUCUGAGCUCAUUGAGGCUUGUAGUGAAAAACUGAGUUUCCUGCAAUAAAAACCGAAAACAGGUUAUCUGUGAAAGUGAUUUGUGAUGUGCAAAUUCAUCUCAUGAAAAUAAACCUCUGCUUUGAUUGAAUAAAUGGGAAGAACUUUUUUGUAGAAAUUUCUGAGCUCCUUUAGGUCUAUAGCAAAAAAAUCUAAUAUCCUGCAAACAAAACUAGAAACAAGCUACAUGUGAAGGUGCUUUCUGAUGUGUGAAUUCAUCUCACCAAAUGAAACUCGUGUUUUGAUUUAGUAGGUUGAAAACAAUCUUUUUGAAGAAUAUACGAAGGGACAUUACUGAGCUUAUUGAGGCUUAUAUUGAAAAACUGAAUAUCCCACAAAAUAAACUAGAAACAAGUGAUCUGUGAAAAUAGUUGGCCAUGUGUAAAUUUAUCUCACACAGUUAAACCCUUUUUUUGACUCAACAAAUUAGAACUCUUUUUGUAGAAUCUAUGAAGGGACAUUUCUGAGCUCAUUGAGGCCUAUCGUGAAAAACUGAAUAUCCCAUGAUGAAAACUAGAAAGAAGCUAUCUGUGAAAAUAUUUAGCAAUGUGUUCUUUCAUCUCACAGAGUUAAAUCUUUUUUUUUUUUUAUUCACCAUAUUGGAAAUACUCUUUUUGUAGAAUCUACAAAGAAACAUUUCUGAGCCCAUUGAAGCCUAUAGUAAAAAAACAAAUAUUCUGCAGUUGAAACUAGAAACAAUCUCUUUGAAAAUGCCUUGUGAUGUGUGGAUGCAUCUCAUUAAAAGGAGCCUGUGUUUUGGUUCACCAGAUUGGAAACACUUUUUUGUAGAAUAUACGAUGGGAUGUAUCUGAGCCCAUUGAGGCCUAUAGUAAAAAAUGGAAUAUCUUGCAAUAAAAAACUAGAAACGAGCUAUCUUUGAAUAUGCUUUCUGAUGUGUGGAUUCAUCUCACAGAGUUAAACCUUAUUUUUGACUCACCAAGAUGGAAAUACUUUUUUUUGUAGAAUCUAUGAUAAGACAUUUCUGAGUCUAUUGAUGUGUAU